GGUACUGCAAAAAAGUGCAUGCUUAUCCUGCCUUAUCACAACUAAUCAGAAGAAUUUUCUCUUCUGCUCCAGGAGAGAAGCCAAAUAAACUGGUCACAUUUGCUCACCCUUGCUCAUGACCUGGGAGGGCCACUGUUCCAGCUCCUCAGCAAUCACCGCAGGAGUUGGCAGCAUCCACUGGAUUGCAGUUUCGGGAGCCCUCAUUCAGAUUUGGAGAAUGAACCCUCCCGAUACACAAGUACCCCAGCACUGAGACCAUCCGUCUUCUCCAGAGUUCAAGUGUCGUUCAAGAAUUCACUGAUAGAAGGGGAGGGAUCUCUUGAUAACCCUAAUGAGUUUCUCAGUUGCCAACCGAGAUCUGAAAAACCUUAAACAAUUACAGAGAAAUCUGGAUUCUUCAAACAAAUGUGAGUGGCAAAACUUUGCCCACGAAAAGUUUUAAGAUGUAUAUGA